CAGUCGCCGCGGUAAUACAGAGGGUGCGAGCGUUAAUCGGAUUUACUGGGCGUAAAGCGUGCGUAGGCGGCUUCUUAAGUCGGAUGUGAAAUCCCUGAGCUUAACUUAGGAAUUGCAUUCGAUACUGGGAAGCUAGAGUAUGGGAGAGGAUGGUGGAAUUUCCUGUGUAGCGGUGAAAUGCGUAGAUAUAGGAAGGAACAUCAGUGGCGAAGGCGACCACCUGGACUGAUACUGACACUGAGGUGCGAAAGCGUGGGGAGCAAACAGGAUUAGAUACCCGCGUAGUCCCUGUCUCUUAUAC
rnacentral:rRNA from 1 species